rnacentral:rRNA from 1 species
GACGAACGCUGGCGGCGUGCUUAACACAUGCAAGUCGAACGGAAAGGCCCUGCUUUUGUGGGGUGCUCGAGUGGCGAACGGGUGAGUAACACGUGAGUAACCUGCCCUUGACUUUGGGAUAACUUCAGGAAACUGGGGCUAAUACCGGAUAGGAGCUCCUGCUGCAUGGUGGGGGUUGGAAAGUUUCGGCGGUUGGGGAUGGACUCGCGGCUUAUCAGCUUGUUGGUGGGGUAGUGGCUUACCAAGGCUUUGACGGGUAGCCGGCCUGAGAGGGUGACCGGCCACAUUGGGACUGAGAUACGGCCCAGAAUCCUACGGGAGGCAGCAGUGGGGAAUAUUGCACAAUGGGCGGAAGCCUGAUGCAGCAACGCCGCGUGCGGGAUGACGGCCUUCGGGUUGUAAACCGCUUACGCCUGUGACGAAGCGUGAGUGACGGUAAUGGGUAAAGAAGCACCGGCUAACUACGUG